AGCUUGCUUCUUGCUGACGACCGGCGGACGGGUGAGUAAUGCAUAGCUUACCUGCCCCAUAGACGGGAAUAGCCACUGGAAACGGUGAUUAAUACCCGAUACUCCCUACGGGGGAAAUGCUUUUGCGCUAUGGGAUGGGGCUAUGUCCUAUCAGCUUGUUGGUGAGGUAAAAGCUCACCAAGGCUAUGACGGGUAGCUGGUCUGAGAGGAUGAUCAGCCACACUGGAACUGAGACACGGUCCAGACUCCUACGGGAGGCAGCAGUGGGGAAUAUUGCGCAAUGGGGGCAACCCUGACGCAGCAACGCCGCGUGGAGGAUGACGCAUUUCGGUGUGUAAACUCCUUUUAACAAGGAAGAUAAUGACGGUACUUGUUGAAUAAGCACCGGCUAACUCCGUGCCAGCAGCCGCGGUAAUACGGAGGGUGCAAGCGUUACUCGGAAUCACUGGGCGUAAAGCGCAUGUAGGCGGACUUACAAGUCAGGUGUGAAAUCCUAUGGCUCAACCAUAGAACAGCACUUGAAACUGUAAGUCUAGAGUUCGGGAGAGGCAGAUGGAAUUUCCGGUGUAGGGGUAAAAUCCGUAGAGAUCGGAAGGAAUACCUAUUGCGAAGGCGAUCUGCUGGAACGCAACUGACGCUCAGAUGCGAAAGCGUGGGUAGCAAACAGGAUUAGAUACCCUGGUAGUCCACGCCCUAAACGAUGGGUGCUAGUCGUUAGAGAGCCAGUCUCUUUAGUGAUGCAGCUAACGCAUUAAGCACCCCGCCUGGGGAGUACGGUCGCAAGAUUAAAACUCAAAGGAAUAGACGGGGACCCGCACAAGCGGUGGAGCAUGUGGUUUAAUUCGAAGAUACGCGAAGAACCUUACCUGGGCUUGACAUCCUAAGAACUUUGUAGAGAUACAUUGGUGCUAGCUUGCUAGAACUUAGUGACAGGUGCUGCACGGCUGUCGUCAGCUCGUGUCGUGAGAUGUUGGGUUAAGUCCCGCAACGAGCGCAACCCCCGUCCUUAGUUGCUAACGGUUCGGCCGAGAACUCUAAGGAGACUGCCUUCGCAAGGAGGAGGAAGGUGGGGACGACGUCAAGUCAUCAUGGCCCUUAUGCCCAGGGCAACACACGUGCUACAAUGGGGUGUACAGAGAGAAGCAAUACUGCGA
rnacentral:rRNA from 1 species